rnacentral:rRNA from 1 species
UACAGAGGGUGCGAGCGUUAAUCGGAAUUACUGGGCGUAAAGGGUGCGUAGGCGGGUCUUUAAGUCAGGGGUGAAAUCCUGGAGCUCAACUCCAGAACUGCCUUUGAUACUGAAGAUCUUGAGUGCGGGAGAGGUGAGUGGAACUGCGAGUGUAGAGGUGAAAUUCGUAGAUAUUCGCAAGAACACCAGUGGCGAAGGCGGCUCACUGGCCCGAUACUGACGCUGAGGCACGAAAGCGUGGGGAGCAAACAGG